CGGUCAACUGACACCUGGUGCAUAAACCGCACAUGUGCAGUACCGCUGUUCACCACUAGAGGGAGCCCUAGCAAGGGGACAAGCCUGCACAUGCGCAGUAAGUUGUCGACAUCCAGACAAGGCUGGAUGUCGGCGCCAUCUUUGUUUCGCCGCGCCGCUCUCUACACACCCAGAAGAGGCCAAUCUUCCGCAGUGACCACCUGGUUCACAGAGGCUCUUUCCCACCAGGCAGUAGAUGUGGUGCUGAGCCCCAUGUUCGCUGGCUGAAACUUCGAAGACAUAUGCAAUACACAGCAAGGUCUCCUGUGUGUCUCGGUUGGUGACCACCUGCAGGAGAGAAGAAGGUGAGGGUCAAAACCCUGGAUAGGGAAGCCAUUGGCACCACCCACUGAUGCACUCCCUUAUGGGCAUCUGCCCCAUGUCGUACCUGCAGGAUGGUGAAGUUCUCCAGCACGCUGUUCAUCAUGUACUUCUCUGGUAAGUGCUUCAGCUUGUGGAUAAAGUUGAUCAUGUACUCACAGAGUGGGGACCGGUGGAUGCGGUACAAAUAGUGACCAUUCUCAUAGCGAGCAAACUCUGUCUGUGGAAUCCCAGGGACACAGAGGCUUAGAAUCCCUUCACCUCCAGCCCAGGCCCAUCCUAGGAGGUUCCUGGAUAUGAAGUCAGGCCUCUCCCCUUUGUCAGUGACAAGACAGGCAGACACUUCCAGGAGAGGAAAAGGAAAAGACCCGGAAGUAGCAGCAAUGAGAUGGGCAGGAGGGCAGGCGUUGCACACUAGGGGUGGGGGAGGGUACCAGCACCUUUGAGAUGGAGCGGCCAAGGGCAUGAACCUCGGUGCUGGAUGCUGUUGGCCCCGGAGCUAGAGGGAUGACCUGUGGGAUGACGACUGCAUAGCGACAUGGGCACCUCGAUGCGUUUAAUGAA
rnacentral:lncRNA from 1 species